rnacentral:lncRNA from 1 species
CUGUUUAUCUUCAUAAUGACAUGAAUUUAAUACCUAAACUAUCGAUCACACCUAAUAAACCGGUCAUUUUCCCAUAUGCAACAUAUUUUGGAGAAUAUUCUACUUUUUUGCAGGAAAUUGGACCUAAAGGUAGAUUUUUGGAUAAAGCCUGAAACAAGCAACGAACCACACGAAGACGAAGGUCAAUGGGCCCAGGAAGGGCCUAGGCCGAUCGGUAGGGCCCAAGCUGAUCAGUCCAGGGUCUCCUGACC